rnacentral:rRNA from 1 species
AGGUGCUUGCACCUUUCAAGCGAGUGGCGAACGGUGAGUAACACGUGGAUAACCUGCCUCAAGGCUGGGAUAACAUUUGGAAACAGAUGACUAAUACCGAAUAAACUUAGUAUCGCAUGAUAAUAAAGUUAAAAGGCGCUACGGCGUCACCUAGAGAUGGAUCCGCGGUGCAUUAGUUAGUUGGUGGGGUAAAGGCUUACCAAGACAAUAAUGCAUAGCCGAGUUGAGAGACUGAUCGGCCACAUUGGGACUGAGACACGGCCCAAACUCC